AACGAACGCUGGCGGCAGGCCUAACACAUGCAAGUCGAGCGAGCAUUUCGGUGCUAGCGGCGGACGGGUGAGUAACGCGUGGGAACGUGCCCUUUUCUGCGGAAUAGUCCUGGGAAACUGGGGGUAAUACCGCAUACGCCCUUUUGGGGAAAGAUUUAUCGGAGAAGGAUCGGCCCGCGUUGGAUUAGGUAGUUGGUGGGGUAAUGGCCCACCAAGCCGACGAUCCAUAGCUGGUUUGAGAGGAUGAUCAGCCACACUGGGACUGAGACACGGCCCAGACUCCUACGGGAGGCAGCAGUGGGGAAUCUUAGACAAUGGGGGCAACACUGAUCUAGCCAUGCCGCGUGAGUGAUGAAGGCCUUAGGGUUGUAAAGCUCUUUCAGCUGGGAAGAUAAUGACGGUACCAGCAGAAGAAGCCCCGGCUAACUCCGUG
rnacentral:rRNA from 1 species